CGACGCCGCGCCACGCCGCUCGGCGACCGGCCUCCCGCAGCCCCGCGCUACGCCGCCUCCCCUCCUUCGCGCCCAGGAAGGAAAACUUUGCCUCUUCCCUGACCUAGGCCGGCUUUCCCCAACCCGCCCGUCCGCCUGCCUGCCACCAGCCACUCUGUAUAUGGAAGAAGAAAUGCUUCAAGGUGAUCGUGAAGGAAGUACAGCUUCCUCCCUUAACCCUUGAUGGACACGGACUGCUCGGCCUCCAGGCUGAAGAGGUUCUUCAGAGGUGUUGCCAAGACAAUGGAUGAUCCCUUGUUGGAGAUUUACUGACUGAUGGGGAGCGAGGGUCAACCACGUGUCCAGCUCCUUGGACCUCGACAGCUGAAAACCUGCACUCCCUGGUUGUAUACCCUUCAUGUUUUCCAGGUUCUAGAUCUGUGCUGUCCCUUUAAUCCCGUAACAAACUCUAUUUAACAGAUACAGAAAAAUCUCAGCCACCUUAAAGCGCCUAAGUCACCCAAC
rnacentral:lncRNA from 1 species